rnacentral:rRNA from 1 species
UACGUAGGGGCAAGCGUUGUCCGGAUUUAUUGGGCGUAAAGAGCGUGUAGGCGGUCAGGUAGGUCCGUUGUGAAAACUCGAGGCUCAACCUCGAGACGCCGAUGGAAACCAUCUGACUAGAGUCCGGAAGAGGAGAGUGGAAUUCCUGGUGUAGCGGUGGAAAUGACGCAGAUAUCAGGAAGAACACCCGUGGCUAAGGCGGCUCUCUAGUACGGUACUGACGCUGAGACGCGAAAGCGUGGGGAGCGAACAGG